rnacentral:tRNA from 1 species
GUCAGGAUGGCCGAGCGGUCUAAGGCGCUACGUUCAGGUCGCGGGUCUCCCCUGGAGGCGUGGGUUCAAAUCCCAUUUCUGACA